UACGUAGGGGGCAAGCGUUGUCCGGAAUCAUUGGGCGUAAAGAGCGUGUAGGCGGCUCGAUAAGUCUGCUGUGAAAGUCCAGGGCUCAACCCUGGAAGGCCGGUGGAAACUGUCGGGCUAGAGUCCGGAAGAGGCGAGUGGAAUUCCCGGUGUAGCGGUGAAAUGCGCAGAUAUCGGGAGGAAUACCAGUGGCGAAGGCGGCUUCCUGGCCUGUUCUUGACGCUGAUGUGCGAGAGCGUGGGGAGCGAACCGG
rnacentral:rRNA from 1 species